UACGGAGGGAGCUAGCGUUGUUCGGAAUUACUGGGCGUAAAGCGCACGUAGGCGGCUCAGCAAGUCAGGGGUGAAAUCCCGGGGCUCAACCCCGGAACUGCCCUUGAAACUGCUAAGCUAGAAUCCUGGAGAGGCGAGUGGAAUUCCGAGUGUAGAGGUGAAAUUCGUAGAUAUUCGGAAGAACACCAGUGGCGAAGGCGGCUCACUGGACUGGUAUUGACGCUGAGGUGCGAAAGCGUGGGGAGCAAACAGG
rnacentral:rRNA from 1 species